CAUACACACACACCAAUUACUUCCUUUCAUUUUAGUUGUUCCUCUUGUUCACAAUAAUACAAUAUAAAAUUAAUACAUAAAUUCAUAACACAUAUUUUAAACCAACAUUUUUCAUGAUUAGAAAGAAGCAGUAAGAAUGAUCUGUUUAAUGGUAGGCUAGUAGGAUGGUUCUGUCACUGAUUACUUAUAUCCUUUUAAGAGUCUCCUGCGGCGGUUUGUAAAGCAAGAGUUCCUGCAAGAUGCCACUUCCCUGAGGCUGACCAAAAUUGACGUUGCUGAUGAAGUGAAUAGGGUAUCCUAAAAGAAUGUUGACAUAGGACUGGGUGCUGAAUCUGCCAUCAAGGUAAUUUUGAUAUUGACUAUUUUCUUUUCUGGGAUGGAUUUUUGUUCUCUGUACAAUGCAACUAGUAAAAUUUUUAAAUUUUAUUAUGCUGUUUGUAUUAUUAUUAUUAUUAUUAUUAUUAGUAGUAGUAGUAGUAGUAUUAUUGCCGGCAUGGAGAAACUUAUUUUUAGACGAUUAAGUUUACCUUCUUCAUCAUUUACAUUGUAUAGUCUAUGUUGCUUAUUUGUCAGGCACUUCAGAGCAAGCCAGGAAGCAGGGGAGGUGAGCUUUUAGUUCUCACCUUCAGGAAAGAGUGCAUGCAGGGCCUGGUUAUGAUUGUUCAGAAAGUGCAGGUGAAAAGUCCCCUGAAAAUUCCAGUGGUCAGGGCCAUUGGAUGUCUGGACCCCAGAAGCAUGCACAGCGAUGCAGAAGGGUCCCUCACAAAGAUUAAGACUGUAGUACAAACAAUGCUGCAGGACAAGAAGUUGGCAGGAGGCGUCUCUGCUGGUGAUGUAAUCAUACAACAGUUCCAGAGCUUUCUCUCUCGAGGCGAGAGAUGAGAGAUUCUCCUCCUUCCAGCCACUGAAGGAGCGACUUGAUGUCUUCCUGCAUUCAGCCCUCAGCAAGUCUUAUCCAGAGCUAUAUAAGUUUUCUCAGAGCCUUCUACUUCUGUCCCACGGACAAGCCACGGUGGAAAGAGGGUUUUCCAUCAACAAGGAGGUUGAAACAUGCAACAUCCUUGAAAAGUCGAUCGAAGCUUUGAGGCUGAUAUGUGACAAGAUCAGUGUCUGUGGGGGUGUUUUGAAGG
ensembl:lncRNA